rnacentral:rRNA from 1 species
UACGAAGGGGGCUAGCGUUGCUCGGAAUCACUGGGCGUAAAGCGCACGUAGGCGGCUUUUAAGUCAGAGGUGAAAUCCUGGAGCUCAACUCCAGAACUGCCUUUGAUACUGGAGAGCUUGAGUCCGGGAGAGGUGAGUGGAACUGCGAGUGUAGAGGUGAAAUUCGUAGAUAUUCGCAAGAACACCAGUGGCGAAGGCGGCUCACUGGCCCGGUACUGACGCUGAGGUGCGAAAGCGUGGGAGCAACAGG